CUGUCCUCAAGACGGAACAUUCCUGUUUCCAGGCGCUGUUUGCGUCUCCCUGGUCCUGAUGGAGGGAGGCUACCUGAGUGCAGGAAACAAACACGUCUCGACUGUAACCUCAGCAUUUAGCUGGGGUGCGCCCAGGAUGCCAGUGUUCCCCAGGAACUCCGUUUGAAAACCACUGAACUAGAGUUCGGAAGUUAAAAAAACUUCUCAGUCUCCCGCCUCUGUGAAGUUUGCCCAUCUGUCUGGAAAAAGGCAGUUCAGGCCAUGUUUUUCCCAAGCAAUAGAAAAAGCCAGUCUCAACAAAGUGAGAAGUUUGUCGUAAGAAGCUGGAAGUUUACUUAAAGAGAUAUUUCAACAACCUAUGUCUUCGAAAGUGGUGGAAUUUUUCUUGGAGUAUACCUGCACCAGUAUGCCCACCUUGAUUUAAUCGUAUGGGGGUCUACAAGUCUUGUUUGUAAAAUGUGUCAAGCUCGAGGAAGAAAAGGAUAUACUAUGAUGUCCCCACUUGUGUUCCUGACAUUGAGUUUUUGCGUCAUGAAGUUUGAAGUCCUGUUAUUAGGUGCAUACAUAUUUAGGACUGAAAUGUCUUCUUGAUGAGGCUCCAGAUGCGCAGGCUCAGCUGCCAUGGCUCACGGGCCCAGCCGCUCUGCGGCAUGUGGGAUCUUCCCGGACCGGAGCACGAACCCAUGUCCCCUGCAUCGGCAGGCAGACUCUCAACCACUGCGCCACCAGAGAAGCCUUGUAUAUAUUUUUAGCUUAUUAUAAUUUACCCCCAAAUAAUAUUAUGCCAUUUCACAUAUUGUGUUAACUUUAUGAUGGUAUUCUUCCAUUA